AUUGAACGCUGGCGGUAUGCCUUACACAUGCAAGUCGAACGGUAGAGGGGCAACCCUUGAGAGUGGCGAACGGGUGAGUAAUACAUCGGAACGUGCCCAGUCGUGGGGGAUAACGUAGCGAAAGCUACGCUAAUACCGCAUACGACCUGAGGGUGAAAGCGGGGGAUCGCAAGACCUCGCGCGAUUGGAGCGGCCGGUGGCAGAUUAGGUAGUUGGUGGGGUAAAGGCCUACCAAGCCUGCGAUCUGUAGCUGGUCUGAGAGGACGACCAGCCACACUGGGACUGAGACACGGCCCAGACUCCUACGGGAGGCAGCAGUGGGGAAUUUUGGACAAUGAGCGCAAGCCUGAUCCAGCCAUACCGCGUGCGGGAAGAAGCCCUUCGGGUUGUAAACCGCUUUUGUCAGGGAAGAGAUCUUCUGGGCUAAUACCUCGGGAGGAUGACGGUACCUGAAGAAUAAGCACCGGCUAACUACGUGCCAGCCGCCGCCGUAACAC
rnacentral:rRNA from 1 species